GCGGUCUUGAUGUCAUAGCAGAAACAUUAUUAAAAAAAGAAAUUAAAAUGUCAUAAGAACUGAAAUAAUGUUCAAGAUGUUUCCUUCUUCUUUGGAGUGUGAUAAAUAAUUUUGAAAUUAUUUUAAUGCAACCCAAAAUAUGACGAAGAGUUUGGAUAAUAGUAACACUGAUUCGGAAAUAGGCUCCAUUGAUCCAACUCGUCGAGUCAAUAAGCUCAGCGCAAUCCUUUGCCCUGCUAUUUGCGCGUUACUGAUUAUUUGUAUGUCUUCUAUUAUUUUUUUGGGAUCGAAGAUGGCUCACGAUCAAUACGACGCCUUCUGCAUGAGCCGCCGCUUUGAUGUGGGCAAGCUCUACAUAUUUCCUAACGUUACCAUGAAAUUUGUGAAAGAUGUACCUCAAUCUUGAUUCUUGUAAUGACUUUUUCUUCUUUAACAUAAUGUUAUUUAUGAAUUUUUGAUAUUAAUAAAAUUAUUUUCUUUGUGUGUAA